CUUAUCCUUCGUUACAAUCAGAGCUUUGUCGCCUAUGUCACCUGUUUCAAAGUAUCCAAGCAUUCAAGAAAAUUACAGCUAUGUGAAAAGUACAUUAGUACUGUAAACGACCGAUCGGUGUUUACCAUCUUAUUGUUAGUAAGAGGACGAGGAGAAGUGUCGAUAAGCAGGAGUUCGGGGUAGCUCAGUGGACUAGAACAGUCGCCCGGCAAACGAUCGAAAGACCCGGGUUCAAUUCCCAGCCUCGCGCGGCUAUCCGCGUUCCGCGCGUUUUUCUCUCGUCACUCUUACAGUACAAUAUGAUUUGAUAAAAUAUAAUAGUGUAAUGAUAUGCAAGAAACAUUUUGAAUAAUAUAGACAACAGUGUAUAUAAGACAAUAAUAAAGCAAAAAAUAAACCUGAA